rnacentral:misc_RNA from 1 species
UCCGGUUUGUCACCGGCAGUCACCCUAGAGUGCCCAACUCAAUGCUGGCAACUAGGAUCAAGGGUUGCGCUCGUUGCGGGACUUAACCCAACAUCUCACGACACGAGCUGACGACAACCAUGCACCACCUGUCUCCCCUGUCCCGAAGGCCUGCCCUAUCUCUAGGACAUUCAGGGGGAUGUCAAGACCUGGUAAGGUUCUUCGCGUUGCUUCGAAUUAAACCACAUGCUCCACUGCUUGUGCGGGUCCCCGUCAAUUCCUUUGAGUUUCAGUCUUGCGACCGUACUCCCCAGGCGGAAUGCUUACUGUGUUAACUUCGGCACCAAGGGCUCUUACGCCCCUGACACCUAGCAUUCAUCGUUUACGGCGUGGACUAC